rnacentral:tRNA from 2 species
GGGCGCGUAGCUCAAUGGUAGAGCAGCGGCCUUUUAAGCCGUUGGUUCAGAGUUCGAUCCUCUGCGCGCUCA